UACGUAGGGUGCAAGCGUUGUCCGGAAUUAUUGGGCGUAAAGAGCUCGUAGGCGGCUUGUCACGUCGACUGUGAAAACCCGAGGCUCAACCUCGGGCCUGCAGUCGAUACGGGCAGGCUAGAGUUCGGUAGGGGAGACUGGAAUUCCUGGUGUAGCGGUGAAAUGCGCAGAUAUCAGGAGGAACACCAAUGGCGAAGGCAGCUCGCUGGGACGGUACUGACGCUGAGACGCGAAAGCGUGGGGAGCAAACAGG
rnacentral:rRNA from 1 species